rnacentral:rRNA from 1 species
UACGUAGGGUGCAAGCGUUGUCCGGAAUUAUUGGGCGUAAAGAGCUCGUAGGCGGUUUGUUGCGUCGGCUGUGAAAUCCCGAGGCUCAACCCUCGGGUCUGCAGUCGAUACGAGCAAACUAGAGUGUUGCAGGGGAGACUGGAAUUCCUGGUGUAGCGGUGAAAUGCGCAGAUAUCGGGAGGAACACCUAUGGCGAAGGCAGCUCGCUGGGGACGUACUGACGCUGAGACGCGAAAGCGUGGGGAGCAAACAGG